rnacentral:misc_RNA from 1 species
GAGAGAGAGAGAGAGAGAAAAUCCUAGAAAGGAGCAGGAGCUACAUCAAACCCCAGGAAAGGCCUGGCAUUGAAAUCAGGAUGAAUUGCGUCCUUCAACUUGUGAAACCCAUUCUUGAAAACACCAAAUCCAAACAGCAGCCCGAUCAAUAUUACCACAAGAAUCACGCAUGUGCAGAGCAUGCACAUCCUACCACCGCAGCACAUCUUUGAAUCUUCCCUUCUAUGUUUUCUUGGAUCUUGAAUCUCUUGCAACAACUUUACAUUGGGAGUUCAGAAUGUGAUCUGAAGAGCGUGAAGGGGAAGUGUAGUUUUUGGAGUGGUAUCUGAAUCAAGUCAAAAUGCUUGGACGUUAUAACUAGCGAGCAAUGUUCGCUUAAAAGGAAAACAAUCAAGAGUGGAA